rnacentral:rRNA from 1 species
UACGUAGGGAGCAAGCGUUGUCCGGAAUCAUUGGGCGUAAAGCGCGCGUAGGUGGCCAUGUAAGUCCGCUGUGAAAGUCAAAGGCUCAACCUUUGAAAGCCGGUGGAUACUGCAUGGCUAGAGUACGGAAGAGGCGAGUGGAAUUCCUGGUGUAGCGGUGGAAUGCGCAGAUAUCAGGAGGAACACCAAUAGCGAAGGCAGCUCGCUGGGACGUUACUGACACUGGAGGCGCGAAAGCGUGGGGAGCGAACAGG